CCUCCUCCUCCAGCCCUGGCCCUGCCACCCGAGUUACUGCAGCUGGACGUUGAUCUCGAAAGGGCAUUUGGGACCUUGCCCCUGAGCUGGGCAUGUGGCUAGCUCAGGGGCAGGCCUGGGGCAGGCAGGAAGGUGGAAGAGCCCAGAUGAAGGCUGCAAGCAGGUAGAUCAGGAAGUGGAGAAACCGGUUUGUGUUUCGGACUACUGGGGUGGGGUCUCCUCUGCUGGGCUCCCUGCCUGCCAGCCUACCGCGAAGAGAUGCGCCGUGCCCCUUCCUCGCUCACCUGCACUGACUUGGGGAACGCCAACGGUAAUGAAAGGGGCAGCCGGAUCAGCCCACCUUGUACUCCCCCCGGAGAGGCUUGGAAAAGAAGGGACCGGCCUGCGAGCCGGAGAGAGGGAAGGAGGCGGCGUCCGGAGCCUGAGGAGGGGUCAGCGCGGCUCUGGGCCAGAGCCAACAGAUCCGGAGCGGAGCAGCCCCCCCAUGCUGUCUGCGGACGAUGCCGAGUACCCGCGGGAGUACCGGACCCUGGGGGGUGGGGGCGGCGGGGGCGGCGGGGGCCGGCGCUUCUCCAACGUGGGGCUGGUGCACACCUCCGAGCGCCGGCACACGGUGAUCGCCGCCCAGAGCCUGGAGGCGCUCAGCGGGCUGCAGAAGGCGGACGCUGACCGAAAGCGCGAUGCCUUCAUGGACCACCUGAAGAGCAAGUACCCGCAGCACGCCCUGGCCCUGCGAGGCCAGCAGGACAGGAUGCGGGAGCAGGUUGGCAGCUGGACCGUGGACCCCGUCUGCCUCCUCAGCUCCCUCUGCUCCCACCUCCAUGGCGACUCCGCCCCCUCCGGGGCUGGCCAGCCGGCCCAGCAGCCAAACUACUGGAGUUUCAAGACCCGCAGCUCACGUCACACUCAGGGAGCCCAGCCGGGGCUGGCAGACCAGGCGGCCAAGCUGUCCUACGCCUCGGCUGAGUCGCUGGAGACCAUGUCGGAGGCCGAGCUGCCCCUGGGUUUCAGCAGGAUGAACCGCUUCCGACAGAGCCUGCCGCUCUCGCGCUCGGCCAGCCAGACCAAGCUGCGCUCGCCAGGGGUGCUGUUCCUGCAGUUUGGGGAGGAGACUCGGCGCGUGCACAUCACGCACGAGGUCAGCAGCCUGGACACACUGCACGCCCUCAUCGCGCACAUGUUCCCGCAGAAGCUCACCAUGGGCAUGCUUAAGUCGCCCAACACCGCCAUCCUCAUCAAAGACGAAGCUCGAAACGUCUUCUACGAGCUGGAGGACGUCCGGGACAUCCAGGACCGCAGUAUUAUCAAGAUCUACAGGAAGGAGCCACUCUACGCCGCCUUCCCCGGCUCACACCUCACCAACGGCGACCUCCGGAGAGAGAUGGCGUACGCGUCGCGGGAGUCGUCGCCCACGCGGCGCCUCAACAACUUGUCGCCGGCCCCGCACCUGGCAUCCGGCUCGCCGCCGCCCGGGCUGCCGUCGGGGCUGCCGUCGGGCUCGCCGUCGCGCUCGCGCCUCUCGUACGCCGGGGGGCGCCCGCCCUCGUACGCCGGCAGCCCGGUGCACCACGCGGCCGAGCGGCUCGGGGGCGCCUCGGCGGCCCAGGGCGUGAGCCCCAGCCCCAGCGCCAUCCUGGAGCGGCGGGACGUGAAGCCGGACGAGGACCUGGCGGGCAAGGCGGGCGGCAUGGUGCUGGUCAAGGGCGAGGGCCUCUACGCCGACCCCUACGGGCUGCUGCACGAGGGCCGCCUGAGCCUGGCCGCGGCCGCCGGCGACCCGUUCGCCUACCCGGGCGCGGGCGGCCUGUACAAGCGCGGCUCGGUGCGCUCGCUCAGCACCUACUCGGCCGCCGCGCUGCAGUCCGACCUGGAGGACUCGCUGUACAAGGCGGCGGGCGGCGGCGGCCCGCUCUAUGGCGACGGCUACGGCUUCCGCCUGCCGCCCUCGUCGCCGCAGAAGCUGGCUGACGUGGCGGCGCCGCCCGGGGGACCCCCGCCGCCACACAGCCCCUACUCGGGGCCGCCCAGCCGCGGCUCGCCGGUGCGCCAAUCCUUCCGCAAAGACUCGGGCUCCUCGUCCGUCUUCGCCGAGAGCCCGGGAGGGAAGACCCGCAGCGCGGGGAGUGCUUCGACGGCCGGAGCGCCCCCUCCGGAGCUCUUCCCCGGGCCCGGGGAGCGCUCCCUCGUUGGGUUCGGGCCGCCGGUGCCAGCCAAGGACACGGAGACCAGGGAGCGCAUGGAGGCCAUGGAGAAGCAGAUUGCCAGCCUCACAGGCCUGGUGCAGAGCGCCCUACUUCGAGGCUCUGAGCCCGAGACCCCCAGUGAGAAGAUUGAAGGCUCCAACGGAGCGGCCACCCCCUCAGCCCCCUGCGGGUCAGGCAGCCGGAGCAGCGGGGCCACGCCGGUGUCCGGCCCUCCCGCGCCGCCGGCCAGCAGUACCCCUGCAGGGCAGCCCACGGCCCUCAGCCGCCUGCAGAUGCAGCUGCACCUGCGUGGCCUGCAGAGCAGCACCAGCGACCUGCGCGGCCAGCUUCAGCAGUUGCGCAUGCUCCAGCUGCAGAACCAGGAGUCGGUGCGCGCGCUGCUGAAGCGCACGGAGGCGGAGCUGAGCAUGCGCGUGUCGGAGGCGGCGCGGCGGCAGGAGGACCCGCUGCAGCGGCAGCGCACCCUGGUGGAGGAGGAGCGGCUGCGCUACCUCAACGACGAGGAGCUCAUUACCCAGCAGCUCAAUGACCUGGAGAAGUCGGUGGAGAAGAUCCAAAGGGACAUGGCGCACAGCCACCGGCUGGUGCCCGGCCCCGAGCUGGAGGAGAAGGCGCUGGUGCUGAAGCAGCUCGGGGAGACGCUGACGGAGCUCAAGGCUCACUUCCCGGGCCUGCAGAGCAAGAUGCGGGUGGUGCUGCGCGUGGAGGUGGAGGCGGUGAAGUUCCUGAAGGAGGAGCCGCAGCGCCUGGACGGGCUCCUCAAGCGCUGCCGCGGGGUCACCGACACGCUGGCCCAGAUCCGGAGGCAAGUGGACGAGGGUGUGUGGCCACCCCCCAACAACCUCCUGAAUCAGUCUCCCAAGAAGGUGACGGCCGAGACGGACUUCAACAAGGCCUUGGACUUCGAAAUGCCACCCCCUAGUCCCCCGCUGAACCUGCACGAGCUGAGUGGACCGGCUGAGGGCGCUCCUCUCACCCCCAAGGCGAGCAACCCCACCAAGGGCCUGGAGACCCCUGGCAGGAGGAGCAUGGACAAGGCAGUGUCUGUGGAGGCUGCUGAGAGAGACUGGGAGGAGAAGCGGGCAGCCCUGACCCAGUACAGCGCCAAGGACAUCAACCGGCUGCUGGAGGAGACGCAGGCCGAGCUGCUCAAGGCCAUCCCCGACCUGGACUGCGCCAGCAAGGCCCACCCCAGCCCGGCCCAGACCCCGGACCACAAGCCCCCCAAAGCUCCCCACGGCCAGAAGGCAGCGCCCCGAGCGGAGCCCAGCGGGAGGAGGGGCUCAGAUGAGCUGACAGUGCCCAGAUACCGCACCGAGAAGCCCUCCAAGUCGCCCCCGCCGCCCCCUCCCCGCCGCAGCUUCCCCUCCUCCCACGGCCUGACCACCACCCGCACCGGGGAGGUGGUGGUCACCAGCAAGAAGGACUCGGCCUUCAUCAAGAAGGCGGAGUCCGAGGAGCUGGAGGUGCAGAAGCCGCAGGUGAAGCUGCGCCGCGCCGUGUCCGAGGUGGCCCGCCCGGCCUCCACGCCGCCCAUCAUGGCGUCCGCCAUCAAGGACGAGGACGACGAGGACCGCAUCAUCGCGGAGCUGGAGGUGUUUGAGAGAAGCUCAGUGUCUUCCCUCCCCCCCACGCCCCGCCGCCAGCCGAUCCCCAUCCUGCUGUCCCCCCAGGACCUGGGGCCCCCCAGGGGCUCAGCCCCGGGCCCCACACGGAAGGUAACGGGGCUGCCCACCUCUCACGGCUCUCUCUCUCUGCCUGCGCCACCUCACCUCUCACGCUAACCCGACACGGCACCAGCCAAGCCCCAGGCCCUGCACUGCCACGCGGUACUCACGCGGACUCACCCCUCCUGGACCUGGGGCACAGCCCGCCUUCCCGGCGCCUCCCAGGUGGGCUUUCCUGGACACGCCAGCAGCCUGGGCAUCUGGCAACCCCUUGCGUCUGCCUUAUCCCACAGAUGUGAAUCCCAGUCUGGCUGGUAUUUAGUCUGUGGCCUCGGUUUAGGUCUGGCCUGAGCCCGAGUGUCGGCCAAGGUCGAGGUUUGGAUCUGGCUCACAAGCUGCCUUGGGGUCCAACUCAAAGUCCGACUUUGUCCUGAUGCCAUUGUCCCACUAGCAUCUCCACCUUGCACUGGGGGUUAGGAUGCCCCGCCCCGGGGUUGGGGACAACUCAUCUGCAGCCUCCCCCACCCAUCUUGCCCCCUGGUCAGGGAGCUUGGAAUGAAGAAGCCAAGUCUCUCCUUGGCUGCUGGUUCUGUCUGUCAGCACUGGGAAGUUCUUCCUUAUCUCUAACUUCACUCCUUGCUGCUGUCUUGCUGCACUGAUUUCCUCUUGGUUUUUCCUUGGGAAUUUGGGGGUGGGCCUGCUAUCUGCCCCCGCUGCGGACUGUGCUUGGGGCCUGGGGAGGAGGCUGGGGAGAGGCCGGGAUGGGGCAGGAGAGCCUCUGCUCCAAGCAGGGAACCCCCCACCCCUGCACACACACUUCACCUGCUGUGUCCGGUUCUCCCGGCCCUCAGGGGGCCGCACGCUGACCGCCACCUGAUUUCCGGCCUGGCUGGAGGCCUGGUGGUGCCCUGGCGGGGUGGGGGUAGGGGGCACAGUGCAGUCUGCUGGGCAGGGGGCAGCACAGAGACGUCUGAGGAGCCCUCUGGGGAGGAGCCCCGUGGAAGGGGCACCCCCUGAGCUGCUUGUGCGCCGGGUGCCCCGUCCCUGGCCCUGUCUGGCUCUGGGAGCUGGCCCCCGUCUGGACUUGGGGGCCUGACCGACCCUCUGCAUCCCGAGGCGCAGUCAGGCCAUGGAGCCAGGCGAGCAUGGGGCGCCUUCCCAGGCUCCCAGUCCGCACCCCCCGCUGCCAGGCUGCCACAGGACCCAGGGCCUUCCGUGUCCCUCGGAUCACCUUGACGGAGUGUGCCCCCAGCACUCCCUCCCCACCAGAAGCCAGG